rnacentral:rRNA from 1 species
GACGAACGCUGGCGGCGUGCUUAACACAUGCAAGUCGAACGGUAAGGCCCUUCGGGGUACACGAGUGGCGAACGGGUGAGUAACACGUGGGUGAUCUGCCCUGCACUUCGGGAUAAGCCUGGGAAACUGGGUCUAAUACCGGAUAGGACCACUGCCUGCAUGGGUGGUGGUGGAAAGCUUUUGCUGUGUGGGAUGGGCCCGCGGCCUAUCAGCGUGUUGGUGGGGUAAUGGCCUACCAAGGCGACGACGGGUAGCCGGCCUGAGAGGGUGACCGGUCACACUGGGACUGAGAUACGGCCCAGACUCCUACGGGAGGCAGCAGUGGGGAAUAUUGCACAAUGGGCGCAAGCCUGAUGCAGCGACGCCGCGUGAGGGAUGACGGCCUUCGGGUUGUAAACCUCUUUCAGCUAUGACGAAGCGCAAGUGACGGUAGUAGCAGAAGAAGGACCGGCCAACUACGUGCCAGCCGCCGCCGUAA